rnacentral:rRNA from 1 species
GAUGAACGCUAGCGGCAGGCUUAAUACAUGCAAGUCGAGGGGUAACAGGGGAGCUUGCUCUUGCUGACGACCGGCGUACGGGUGCGUAACACGUAUGCAACCUACCUAUUACAGAGGGAUAAUCUGAAGAAAUUUGGUCUAAUACCUCAUAGUAUUUUUGAGAGGCAUCUUUCAAGAAUUAAAGAUUGGAGAGAUUGGUAAUAGAUGGGCAUGCGUUCCAUUAGCUAGUUGGUAAGGUGAUUGCUUACCAAGGCGACUAUGGAUAGGGGCUCUGAGAGGAUUGUCCCCCACACUGGUACUGAGACACGGACCAGACUCCUACGGGAGGCAGCAGUAGGGAAUAUUGGGCAAUGGUCGGAAGACUGACCCAGCCAUGCCGCGUGCAGGAAGACGGCCUUAUGGGCUGUAAACUGCUUUUAUACGGGACUAAUAGGGGCUACGUGUAGUUCUAUGCAGGUACCGUAAGAAUAAGGAUCGGCUAACUCCGUGCCAGCAGCCGCGGUAAUACGGAGGAUCCGAGCGUUAUCCGGAUUUAUUGGGUUUAAAGGGUGCGCAGGCGGAUUAAUAAGUCAGUGGUGAAAACAUUCAGCUUAACUGAGUACGUGCCAAUGAUACUGUUAGUCUUGAUUUUAGUAGGCGUAGGCGGAAUAUGUCAAGUAGCGGUGAAAUGCGUAGAUAUGACAUAGAACACCGUUCGGGAAGCCGGCUUACGAUAUUAUAAAUGACGCUGAGGCAC